UGCUGGAGCUGCUGCUGCCGCCUCCUGCUGGGCUCCGGUCGCGCCUCCGCCGCCGGCCAAAGCAGCCCCAGUGCCGCCAAGAGCAAGCCCAGCAGCGCCAGGAGAAGCCGGUAGGGACCGCUCUGGCCGCUAGAGGGCGCCUGGCACACAAACAAAGCGACGCUUAAGGGAAGCCUCAUCGCUGGUGGAAGGCAUACAGUGAAAUAGUGAAGAGUAGAGACAUCACACUGGCAAAGAAGGUCCCCAUAGUUAAAGCAGUGGUGUUCCCAGAAGUAACCUAUGGAAGGGAGAGCUGGACCACAAGGAAGGCAGAACAAAGAAAGAUAGAUGCUUUUGAACUGUGGUAUUGGAGGAAAAUUCUGAGAGUGCCUUGGACCACAAGAAGAUCCAACCAGUCCAUACUCCUGGAAAUAAUGCCCAGCUGCUCAUUGGAGGGAAGUAUAUUAGAGGCAAGGAUGCAGUACUUUGGCCACAUAAUGAGAAGACAGGAAAGCUUGGAGAAGAGAAUGAUGCUGGGGAAAAUGGAAGGAAAAAGGAAGAGGCAAGAUGGAUAGAUGGUAUCCUUGAAGUGACUGGCUUGACCUUGAUGGCUGACAGGGAGCUCUGGUGUGGACUGGUCCAUGAGGUCAUGAAGAGUUGGAAGUGACUGAAUGAACAAACAACAACAGGCAGUCCCUAAGUUACUAACAAGAUAGUUUCUGUAGGAUUGUUCUCCAGUAGAAUUUGUCAGUUGGAACAGGUGCAUUUUUAAGUACAUUUUUCCAGCCAUAUAUAUACCGAUCAAUUUUAUAGCAUAGGUAAAGGUAAAGGUUUUCCCCUGACAUUAAAUCUAGCCAUGUCCAACUCUGGGGUUGGUGCACAUCUCCAUUUCUAAGCCGUAGACAUUGUCCGUAUUGGGACAAGGUGUGUGGUGCUAGGGUAAAGGCAAAAUAUAUUGCAGCAUAUUCUCCUCUUGUUAUUUUUGUCUGAAUUGCAGUUUUGGUUGGUUGAGAGAGUCUCUCUGCGGAAAUCCAGCACAUCAGUUUUUCCAGGGUCUGAUUCAUGCUACAUAUUUUCGAAAGCGGAGCAUUGCCUAAGCCCUGCUGAAAUAGCCAGUAUAGUGUUCUGGUCGGAGUGCUGAAGGCCAGCAUUCAAAUCCCUGUUCAGCCAUGGAAACCAACUGCAUUACCUUGGGCAAGACACAACUUUCUUAGCCUUGAUGGAAGGCAAAGGCAAAACUCACUCUCAAAUGUCUUGGUAAAUUUUGCCAAGUCAGUCUAUGAUAGGUUGGCCUUAGGGUCACCAUACAUUAGAAACAAGGAGAAGGCACACAAUAAAAAUAGCAAGUCCGUAUGGAAGGUAAGUCAUGGAUGACUCCUAGAUUCUCAUUCCACCUAUCACAAUAAAGGCAGCCCCUGAUUUCUUGGGCCUAAACCAGUGUCCCCCAAAUUUUGGUCCUUGAGGCAUUUUGGUGUUUUGCUCCCAAAAGAUCCAACAAACUUGGUCAAGAAUUUUGAGAGCUUAAGUACAGAAUACACGGAGGACCAAAGUUUGUGAACCACUGAUCGAAAGACCAGGGAUGGGUUUUAUAAUAGCAAAUAGAUUUAGUGUUAGGGUAGUUAAUUACCACUGAGUCAAUUAUGGUGACCCUCAUACCCAAGCUGGGAAAUUAUUUUUGGACUACUAAAUAAAUAUAUUAAAAUUAA